AGCUUUGCGCAGUGGCAUUACCAUAGCCAAUGAGGUUUAACCGAGGCGUGGUGAUUGCUAAUUGAAAACUUUUCCCCAAUAUCCCGCAUGACGGCGUGAAACAUCGCCGGCGUUGCAAUAUUUGGAGGUUCCCACUGGGA